CGUAGGGGGCGAGCGUUGUCCGGAUUUAUUGGGCGUAAAAGACUUGUAGGCGGCCACCGCGCGUCGUGCGUGAAAUCUCCCGGCUCAACUGGGAGGGGUCGUGCGAUACGGCGGGGCUCGAGGCCGGUAGGGGGACGCGGAAUUCCCGGUGUAGUGGUGGAAUGCGUAGAUAUCGGGAGGAACACCAGUGGCGAAGGCGGCGUCCUGGACCGGUGCUGACGCUGAGGAGCGAAAGCGUGGGGAGCGAUCCGGAUUAGAUACCCGGGUAGUCCACGCCGUAAACGGUGCGCACUAGGUGUCGGGGGUAUCGACCCCCCGGUGCCGCAGCUAACGCAGUAAGUGCGCUGCCUGGGGAGUACGGCCGCAAGGCUA
rnacentral:rRNA from 1 species